rnacentral:rRNA from 1 species
AGUGAACGCUGGCGGUAGGCCUAACACAUGCAAGUCGAACGGCAGCACAGGAGAGCUUGCUCUCUGGGUGGCGAGUGGCGGACGGGUGAGGAAUACAUCGGAAUCUACUCUGUCGUGGGGGAUAACGUAGGGAAACUUACGCUAAUACCGCAUACGACCUACGGGUGAAAGCAGGGGACCUUCGGGCCUUGCGCGAUUGAAUGAGCCGAUGUCGGAUUAGCUAGCUGGCGGGGUAAAGGCCCACCAAGGCGACGAUCCGUAGCUGGUCUGAGAGGAUGACCAGCCACACUGGAACUGAGACACGGUCCAGACUCCUACGGGAGGCAGCAGUGGGGAAUAUUGGACAAUGGGCGCAAGCCUGAUCCAGCCAUACCGCGUGGGUGAAGAAGGCCUUCGGGUUGUAAAGCCCUUUUGUUGGGAAAGAAAUCCAGCUGGCUGAUACCCGGUUGGGAUGACGGUACCCAAAGAAUAAGCACCGGCUAACUUCGUGCCAGCCGCCGCAGUAA